GUGAGUUGUGCUUAAAGUUCCUCUCUUUUCAGCACCUGAACCACCACACCGAGUUAUGUAUUAGAGACAUUUCAUUGAUUUUCAUUUGAUGUUAAUGUACGUGUUUCAUUUCAGACGACUCGGUUGGUGUGAGUGAUAACGCAAAUAUGUACCAGCAUAUGACUUUGAUUGAUGAGUUGCAACUAUCUUUUAGAUAAUCGGUGGAUACCACCACCACGACCGGAAUACUCAGCACUCACCUCUCAAGAUUAUAGAAGCACAUUGGCACAUCACUUUAUGCAUUAUUGUAUGAAGAUGUAGAUGAUAUUAAUAGUUGCUGUCUUUGUUUUCCUA